GACGAAGGAUGCAAGCGUUAUCCGGAUUCAUUGGGUUUAAAGGGAGCGUAGGUGGCCUUAUAAGUCAGUGGUGAAAUCUCGCAGCUUAACUGCGAGAUUGCCAUUGAUACUGUAGGGCUUGAGUAUAGUUGCCGUUGGCGGAAUAUGACAUGUAGUGGUGAAAUACAUAGAGAUGUCAUAGAACACCGAUUGCGAAGGCAGCUGACGAAACUAUAACUGACACUGAGGCUCGAAAGUGCGGGGAUCAAACAGG
rnacentral:rRNA from 1 species